rnacentral:rRNA from 1 species
UACGGAGGGUGCGAGCGUUGUCCGGAAUCAUUGGGCGUAAAGGGCGCGUAGGUGGCCCGGUCAGCGUGCGGUGAAAGCUCGGGGCUCAACCCCGAGUCGGCCGUGCGAACUGCUGGGCUGGAGCACUGUAGAGGCAGGCGGAAUUCCGGGUGUAGCGGUGAAAUGCGCAGAUAUCAGGAAGAACACCCGUGGCGAAAGCGGCUCUCUGGAACGGUACUGACGCUGAGACGCGAAAGCGUGGGGAGCGAACAGG